AACGUAGGAGACAAACGUUAUCCGGAGUUACUGGGCGUAAAGGGCGUGUAGGUGGUUUCGUAAGUCUGGCGUGAAAUUUCUCGGCUUAACCGAGGCAGGUCGUCGGAUACUGCGGAACUAGAGGACGGUAGAGGGAUGCGGAAUUCCAGGUGUAGCGGUGAAAUGCGUAGAUAUCUGGAGGAACACCGGUGGCGAAGGCGGCAUCCUGGACCGGCAUUGACGCUGAGGCGCGAAAGCCAGGGGAGCAAACGGG
rnacentral:rRNA from 1 species